AAUAAGCUAAAUAAGGGCGUAUGGGGAAUGCCUAGGCUCUCAGAGGCGAUGAAGGACGUGAUAAGCUGCGAAAAGUUGCGGGGAUUGGCACAUACAAAUUGAUCCGCAAAUAUCCGAAUGGGGCAACCCACUAUAUUGAAGAUAUAGUAUCCGUAAGGAGGCGAACCCGGAGAACUGAAACAUCUAAGUACCCGGAGGAGAAGAAAACAAAAGUGAUUCCGUUAGUAGUGGCGAGCGAACGCGGAUUAGCCCAAACCAAUAUUGUUACGGCAAUAUUGGGGUUGUAGGACCACAA
rnacentral:rRNA from 1 species